GGGUGCAAUCUGCAGCUCUACACCGAACUCUGGACUCCGCUUUUCGCCUUCCAGGUUCCGCCCGUCUCCGACCUCCAGCUCCCUAAUCAGACAACUUCACUUCGGGUCCGAUGCACGGAGACUGCCGCAUUUAAGCUAAACCGCAUUUAAGCGAACCGCAUUUAAGUGACUAAAUGGGUCCCUGUUCGGGCGCCAGACAAAGAGGGUCCCCCGUGAAGAAUCGGCCAAGUUACGACAAUCACACCAAUAUGGCUACAUGCCGUGCUCACUUUAUUAAACAAACAGGUCAUAUUUAUAACUUAAACGACCGCUCUCACGACUUUACACACAGGUGAUUGGAUAAGAGUCUCUGGCCACAUGGGCGUCCGUGUCGAUGAUUGAGUAUCUCAGAUCCUAGUGGUAAACGGAGAAGAGUUCAUCUUCCUUGAAAGCAGCAGGCACUGGUACCUACAACAAGGAAUCGACAGAGCCCAACGAAAGCAGAGCAUGGCAGCAAUGUAUACACCACAGCUGCCUCGUAUAGGAAGAGAGGCUGUGGCAAUCCAGCUAGAGUAGAUUUUGAACCAUGGUUUAAUUGUGCUACUGUUAUUCUGCUCUUAAGUCACCACUAUGUACAUUUGUUAGCAUGAAUGAUAUACCUAAUAUGUUAUUUUUAAUGUAAAUUUCAAUUAAAAUGUGAGCAUUUUUCUUC